rnacentral:rRNA from 1 species
AGAGUUUGAUCAUGGCUCAGGAUUAACGCUGGCGGCGUGCCUGACACAUGCAAGUCGAACGGGUGUUAGCUGCCCGUAAGGGCUAGCGCUAGUGGCGGACGGGUGAGUAACACGUGGGCAACCUGCCUGAGAGUGCAGAAUAACCCUGCGAGAGCAGAGCUAAUACUGCAUGUGGUUGUCGGAUGGCAUCAUCUGACAACUAAAGUCGCAAGACGCUCUCAGAUGGGCCCGCGGCCUAUUAGCUAGUUGGUGAGGUAACGGCCCACCAAGGCUAUGAUGGGUAGCUGGUCUGAGAGGACGGACAGCCACACUGGGACUGAGACACGGCCCAGACUCCUACGGGAGGCAGCAGUGAGGAAUUUUCCGCAAUGGGCGAAAGCCUGACGGAGCAACGCCGCGUGAGGGAUGAAGUCUCUAGGGAUGUAAACCUCUGUUGGGUGGGACGAAGAUCUGACGGUACCACCUGAGGAAGCCCCGGCUAACUACGUGCCAGCAGCCGCGGUAAUACGUAGGGGGCGAGCGUUAUCCGGAUUUACUGGGCGUAAAGAGCGCGUAGGCGGUUCCGUAAGUUGGUUGUGAAAGUUCGAGGCUCAACCUCGAAACUGCGUCCAAUACUGCGGGGCUGGAGUGCAAGAGAGGCAAGUGGAAUUUGCAGUGUAGUAGUGAAAUGCGUAGAUAUUGCAAGGAACACCAGUGGCGAAGGCGGCUUGCUAGCUUGUAACUGACGCUGAGGCGCGAAAGCUAGGGGAGCGAACGGGAUUAGAUACCCUAGUAGUCC